AGCCUGAUCAGCCAUGCCGCGUGUGUGAAGAAGGCCUUCGGGUUGUAAAGCACUUUCAGUCGUGAGGAAGGUGGUAGUGUUAAUAGCACUAUCAUUUGACGUUAGCGACAGAAGAAGCACCGGCUAACUCCGUGCCAGCAGCCGCGGUAAUACGGAGGGUGCGAGCGUUAAUCGGAAUUACUGGGCGUAAAGCGCAUGCAGGUGGUUUGUUAAGUCAGAUGUGAAAGCCCGGGGCUCAACCUCGGAAUAGCAUUUGAAACUGGCAGACUAGAGUACUGUAGAGGGGGGUAGAAUUUCAGGUGUAGCGGUGAAAUGCGUAGAGAUCUGAAGGAAUACCGGUGGCGAAGGCGGCCCCCUGGACAGAUACUGACACUCAGAUGCGAAAGCGUGGGGAGCAAACAGGAUUAGAUACCCUGGUAGUCCACGCCGUAAACGAUGUCUACUUGGAGGUUGUGGCCUUGAGCCGUGGCUUUCGGAGCUAACGCGUUAAGUAGACCGCCUGGGGAGUACGGUCGCAAGAUUAAAACUCAAAUGAAUUGACGGGGGCCCGCACAAGCGGUGGAGCAUGUGGUUUAAUUCGAUGCAACGCGAAGAACCUUACCUACUCUUGACAUCCAGAGAACUUUCCAGAGAUGGAUUGGUGCCUUCGGGAACUCUGAGACAGGUGCUGCAUGGCUGUCGUCAGCUCGUGUUGUGAAAUGUUGGGUUAAGUCCCGCAACGAGCGCAACCCUUAUCCUUGUUUGCCAGCGAGUAAUGUCGGGAACUCCAGGGAGACUGCCGGUGAUAAACCGGAGGAAGGUGGGGACGACGUCAAGUCAUCAUGGCCCUUACGAGUAGGGCUACACACGUGCUACAAUGGCGCAUACAGAGGGCAGCAAGCUAGCGAUAGUGAGCGAAUCCCAAAAAGUGCGUCGUAGUCCGGAUUGGAGUCUGCAACUCGACUCCAUGAAGUCGGAAUCGCUAGUAAUCGUGGAUCAGAAUGCCACGGUGAAUACGUUCCCGGGCCUUGUACACACCGCCCGUCACACCAUGGGAGUGGGCUGCAAAAGAAGUAGGUAGUUUAACCUUCGGGAGGACGCUUACCACUUUGUGGUUCAUGACUGGGGUGAAUCGAAAACCAAGGGAACCA
rnacentral:rRNA from 1 species